rnacentral:lncRNA from 1 species
GGGUUAAGCAACUUCUUUGUACCUAAUUGGACACGAAGUGACCGAGCAGGAAAGGUCUACUUCAUAUUUAAAGCAGGAGGAUACAGUAACAAUUUCUGCUCUAAAAUAGUUUUUUUUUUUUUUUUUUUUUUACCAAUUUCAAAUAGCCUAUUGACUAAUCCCACCCUUAUUACCCCUGCCCCAGGUGACCAUUGCCUGAGACCAUCAAACUCAGAUUACCUGGCCGGGAAUCAAACCGGGACCUCUUGGUCAUAGGGCCAGCGCUACAACCACUACACCACAGGAGGCCGACAAGAGUAUUUGCCAGGAUGUAAAAAUUAUUUUUUACCUGGGUAAGAGAGAACUCAGUCGAUCUUGUGCAAGUAUGUGCUUAGCUCCUCUAGCUCUGCCGGAUCAUGCGGUCUGUGGCAGACUAAUUAACUAUGGAUCAGAGGAACCUGCUCCAUGUUAUGAAAUCAAAUGUGAUGGCAAUCAAAAACCUUGAGUUCACAGAACCGGAAAAUCAAAUUGAGAAAUGAUAAAUACUCUGAAACCACUCAACUGAGACUCUCCACCACUCUCCACGAAUUGCCGAAUUUCAAUUCAGAAUGCGAGAUAAGAAUACAUAAACAUCAUAAACAUAUACAUAACCUCACCGAAUGCGCGCACGGUUGCCGGUUUCACGGAAAAAUCUCUAAUCUCUUAUCUCUUUGUUUUGAUUGGUUUUGAUUGACUUCUUUCAUUUUCAGAAAUGUAUUUGCUACUAACACCAGUUUUCACUUAGUUUAGUCAAAACUUAGGUAAUUUUUUUUUCGUUUUUAAAAUUAAACGUGGUCUCAAUCUCAAGAGACAAUCUUUUUUAGCAGUAGUUUCGUUUGUUUCGUUCACCAAUCAAGGUAAUUUUGGAAAUCGUGUGGCCGUGUAAUUGCCGAAGGUCUCUUGUGGUCUGAACAGUAAUGUUUUCCUUUUUUUUUUUCAUGGGACUUAUUAUUACUUUAGAAAUUAAACAAUUGAACUAUGGCGUCUCGCAAAAUUACUACACCCACCGCUGAUGGAUAUGUUCAGUUUAAUGAUAGUGUGGUUGUCAACAGUUCAUUUCUCUCACACAGCAUCAACAAUGAUGGAGAAGCAAUGGAAGGAAAUGGCAACCUGACAGAAAGAAGCAAUCCUCUAACAGAGGCUCAUGCGGAAGUCGAAUUAACUCCUGUCACGUCAGACUUACUCAAUGAUUCUCCAGAGCAUUGGGAAAUGAAUUUCCAUGAAGCAGCAAUUUCUUAGAGGUAAACUUAAUCACUACGCCUUCAUAAAAUUUACCAGAGUGUAUGUGAAUCAUUUUCUUGGAUCUCAAAUAGUAAACUAUAAAACAAUAGUAAUCAUUCAUUAACAACAAUUGCAGCAUAUUUUUAAGAACUUCUCCCUAUGCACUGUGGUUUUGCUUAUUCUGAACUCUAAAUUUUCAUGAUUAUUUCUGUUAAUGAAAUGAGAAUUUCUAGUAAUCUCUAGGAUGAAGUCUCCUCACAAGAGAGUCUUUUUUUCCUUCACUUCUAACUUUUGAAUUAAGAAACCUGUGCGAUUUUGGCUCCUAAUCAUAUAGGUAAAAGCUCCUGUUAUGCUAUUAAGCCUCACAGUAUGUAAAGCAGUGUUUAAAUUUUAGUUUAUUUUUUUUAAUGUACCUAAUAUUUAUUUUUUUCUUUUUUUAGGAAGGAGAAAAUAAUGAAAAAUUUGACUCUCACCCACACCAUCCAGAUGCAUUACCAGCAUACUUAUUGGUUCAUAAUUCAUGGUAUUACAGUCUUGGGUUAGUUACUUCCUUGAUAUUAAUGUUUCUUGCUGUCACCGAAGAUCCUGCUGUGCCAGCAUUCCAAGUAUGUUACUUAAAUUCCAAACGUUUACUUUCAAUUGCUGAGCAAUCAGUGAGUUCCAGCAACAUCAGAAUAAUGUGUUAUUGACCCUGCUUUUUUUCCUCCAAAAGAACUUAAUUAAAACAUUCUAUGCCAGAAAAGCACAAUCAUUUAAAACCUUAUUCACUCCUCUCAUCUUAAAGAAAGGAUAUGUUCACCACCAGCAAACCCUGCAGUGCAAAACCACAUAUCUUUUUUGCGGUGUUUUCAAGAUUUCUUCUCUUGUUUAAUUUCUUUAAAGAGGCAAGCCAACUUUGUAGCCUGAAUUUAUAUAGAAUUUUCUGCCAAUAGAGAAGAAAAAUCAAGGUGGUUUUUAAAAUAUUAUGUGCACUGAUUUUCCCAAGAAAAAAGAAGUAUGAUAAGAAGUCCGCAAUGUUGCAAACGGAGAUACGUCGUUUCAAACUUUGGCCAUCAAUAUUGCUCUUGACUGCGCAGUUGUGCUAUCAAGACCAAGAAUAUGCUCUAAAAAUUGUGGACUUGGAGUUGUUUUUAUUUAUGGUCUGUGACUGUCAGUAUUUAAACAUGGUUCGGCACCACGUAAGUAUUUACACAUGGAAAUGAGAUUGAGGCACCAUGUCAAGAAAUAAAUAAAAUAAAUCAAUGAACACAUACAUUGAACAGAAGAGCAAAUAAAUGAAUAAACAAAUAAUUUGGAGGCCGAGACUGAAUACUGAAGUGAAAGAGCACAGAAUCAGAAUAUCACAAAGUUGCACUAUUGUUAGAACUUAAAUGGUCUGGGGUGGAGAAGACCAAAAUGCAAAAAAAUGCAUGGGUCAAAAGUCCAAGAGAUGGAAAAAGACCAAAAAUUCGGGUGACGUGAGUUGCGGGUCCGUAAGAUAGAAAAAGACCUCGAAAAAUGGGCAGCACCUGGCACAUGCUUAUCUAGUCUUGCUGAUGUCACGGAUAGUGAGAGAACAAGACUACUCGUGAUUGGCUGGCUGUAAUCUAUGUAGCUAUCAGUUGCAAGUCUGGUAAUUAGAAUAAGGGUCAAUUAAAUAGAUGGUUGGAGGAUAACGAAAGAAAAAUGAAAUUUGGAAGAAAAAGUGAUGAAUCCAACCAUUCUUAUAAACUAACUGAGAAAUUUAUAAAUAGGGUUAAAAAAAAGUAGGAAAGUCCUAACAGUGACUUUUAACUCUCAUGAUGGAACAAUGCGAUUUUGACGUAAGAACAAAACUAUGGAUUCUGUGAUUUCUUCACAACUGAUUACCUUUCAGUUUUGUAUUCUGUAAAGCAAUUGAAAGCAGAUUUGUGUGGUUAAGCCAAAGGUAAAGGGAGAGAUGUUGGUGCAGCUAGCAGCGGUGGCUUAACGACUUCAUGCAUGUGCUGACAGCAAUGGAUGCCUGCCUGCUUCACGGGUUGGGUGCGUCUUUAGCAUCCGGGUCUGAGCCCUUGAGAUGCCCUUUAUGACUUGUCUGAUGUUUUCAGGUUUUGUUACCAGGUCAUGUUGUCAUGUUUUCAAACUCAUCUUUCAGUGGAAAAAAGAAAAAUUAUUGAGGAUUCAACAGAACAUGUCUUUUAAAAGCUUUUAGAGGGAUAUUUUGAGUUUCAUGAGUAAUACGUGUGUCAAACAUAUCACAUCGAAUAUUUACUUUUAAUUUGAUACCAAUCUCUUAAUGUUUUUCAGUUGCCAGUUGGUGUCCAUGGUACAAUUGAACUGUUUGCUUUAGCAGUUGUUGGGAUCGAAGUAUCUUUAAAUUGAGGUGGAUUGGUUGGAAUACAUUUUAAAGCAUAAGCGAACAAUGAUUAAGGUAAGAAAAAAUGGCAGUAUUGUGCUAUCAAUCAACUGUGUAAAUCAAUGACCCUAUUGUUCCUUUCUUCUUCCUUUGACCUUCCUGUAAGUCUAAUGUGGGAGAAGGGAUAAAUGAGUAUCUUGUGAGCCCUUGAAAUAGAGGGAACAGCUGGAUACAAAGGGUGACCAAUGGAGAGUACAUGUACUCGACUCUUUAGAGAGUAAAAUAGCUGAGAACUGAGAACUAGGUAUAAAAUAGCUCAGAAUAAUGUUAUGGAUGCCUUCUUUUAACCCUUAAUCAUCUAUCCUGUGAGAAAAAUAUCCUUAUUUGAAGUAUCUCUAGAAGGUUUUUGCCUGAUCAACUGGCGCAAAGUCUAGCCACUCUCUUGAAAAAUGCUCUUUUUCAGUCACAUAACAGGUUGUUGAGAGCACAAGUGAAUAAAACUAUUUUCUUUAAAUAUGAGGGAUUUAAUGGGUUUACUAACAAGUAACAACUUCUAAUAUGAAAGUGAUAGUCACAGUUAGACACUUUAAGUGAAGUGAAAGUUAUAUCCCAUAUCUGAAAAAUUAAUCCACUUGUUUUGCAUUGAGUGGACA